AGAGUUUGAUCCUGGCUCAGGAUGAACGCUGGCGGCGUGCCUAAUACAUGCAAGUGAAACGGGUAUCUUCGGAUACCAGUCGCGGACGGGUGAGUAAUACAUAGGCAACCUGCCUUUAUGAGGGGGAUAACCGAGGGAAACUUUGGCUAAUACCGCAUGAAGACUCUAAGGCACCUUAGAGGGAUAAAAGUUGGGAAACAACGCAUGAAGAUGGGCUUAUGGCGCAUUAGCUAGUUGGUGAGAUAGAAGCCCACCAAGGUAAUGAUGCGUAGCCGACCUGAGAGGGUGAACGGCCACAUUGGGACUGAGACACGGCCCAAACUCCUACGGGAGGCAGCAGUAGGGAAUUUUCGGCAAUGGGGGGAACCCUGACCGAGCAACGCCGCGUGAAAGGAAGAAGGUUUUCGGAUUGUAAACUUCUGUUAUAAGGGAAGAACGGAUUGGAUAGGGAAUGAUCUGAUAGUAACGGUACCUUAUUAGAAAGCCACGGCUAACUACGUGCCAGCAGCUGC
rnacentral:rRNA from 1 species